rnacentral:rRNA from 1 species
AGAGUUUGAUCCUGGCUCAGAUUGAACGCUGGCGGCAGGCCUAACACAUGCAAGUCGAGCGGCAGCACGGGUACUUGUGCCUGGUGGCGAGCGGCGGACGGGUGAGUAAUACCUAGGAAUCUGCCUGGUAGUGGGGGAUAACGUCCGGAAACGGACGCUAAUACCGCAUACGUCCUACGGGAGAAAGCAGGGGACCUUCGGGCCUUGCGCUAUCAGAUGAGCCUAGGUCGGAUUAGCUAGUUGGUGAGGUAAUGGCUCACCAAGGCUACGAUCCGUGACUGGUCUGAGAGGAUGAUCAGUCACACUGGAACUGAGACACGGUCCAGACUCCUACGGGAGGCAGCAGUGGGGAAUAUUGGACAAUGGGCGAAAGCCUGAUCCAGCCAUGCCGCGUGUGUGAAGAAGGUCUUCGGAUUGUAAAGCACUUUAAGUUGGGAGGAAGGGCAGUAAAUUAAUACUUUACUGUUUUGACGUUACCGACAGAAUAAGCACCGGCUAACUUCGUGCCAGCAGCCGCGGUAAUACGA